CGUUUUAUUACGAACGAACGUCGUUUUCAAUACCGAAAUCAAUAACAAGCGAUUACAUCAAAUUAACGAAUACAAUUUAAUUUGCAGACUUUAUAUGCGUCGUGGAUAAUCCAUGAAUUAGAUUCCAAUGUUAACACGGCUGCAUGAGAAGUAUACACACACAUAUGCCGUCAACACACUCGAUCGGACUGGCGGCCACACGGAAAAAUGAACAAAAAAUCAGUGUCGAAGGUAUUAUUUUACAUUUACAUGCAUACGUAUACAACUACUACUCCACACGUUACACUACAUUUUACUGUACAAUGGGAUACUGAACUCAAUAGAUUACGAGUUUGUAUGUUAUAACUUAUGACUUUUAUACAAUUAAAAUUUAUUUUUUCA